rnacentral:rRNA from 1 species
GAUGAACGCUGGCGGCAUGCCUAAUACAUGCAAGUCGAGCGAAUGACGAAAAGCUUGCUUCUCUGAUUUAGCGGCGGACGGGUGAGUAACACGUGGGCAACCUGCCCUACAGAUCGGGAUAACUCAGGGAAACCUGGGCUAAUACCGGAUAAUCCUUCGAAUCACAUGUUUUGAAGUUGAAAGGCGCUUCGGCGUCACUGUAGGAUGGGCCCGCGGUGCAUUAGCUAGUUGGUGGGGUAACGGCCUACCAAGGCAACGAUGCAUAGCCGACCUGAGAGGGUGAUCGGCCACAUUGGGACUGAGACACGGCCCAAACUCCUACGGGAGGCAGCAGUAGGGAAUCUUCCACAAUGGACGAAAGUCUGAUGGAGCAACGCCGCGUGAGUGAUGAAGGUUUUCGGAUCGUAAAACUCUGUUGUAAGGGAAGAACAAGUACGUUAGGAAAUGAACGUACCUUGACGGUACCUUAUUAGAAAGCCACGGCUAACUACGUGCCAGCAGCCGCCGUAA